ACACACACACACAUAUGCAUGCACACAGAUAAACAAGCACACUUUUCCCCGCCUCCUCACACUGCUGCACAGACACCGAAUAACACACCAAACAGCUAGGUUAGAAAAGCAGGGGGAAAUGCAUCAACUCCAGGAGCUGCAUGCUGCACAAGUCGUAGCCUACUGCCGCACCGACACGGAAUGACACAGCAAGAGCCAAGGACAGACCAGACCAUGACUGAGAACUCAAUGGAAUACCCACUUAACUCCAGAGAUACAAACCUCCCAAUUCAGAAGAGGUUUUCCAUCCAUAGUGGCAGGAGACCUCCCUCACCUGCACCCAGCAUGGUGUCCAUGAGAAGUGACAACUCUAUGGGGUAUCCUCCAAAUUUAAGAGAGCAGGAUGAUUCUAUGAAAGAAAGUUUUGUUUUAGUUUGAUAAGUUGUUCAGGGAAUUACUGUUCAUAACAUUGCUUCAUUAUAUAAUAUGUAGAUUAUUAGGAAUUUACGAUAUUAUUGGUACAACAUCUAGGCCUAUAUCAGUAGAUAAUAGUGUAAUAAUUGUAUUCUCAACAUUGGAAAAUAUGAUUAUUUCUGCAGAUAUUCCUGGCAUAUAAAUAAAUCUAAAAAUAUAUUAUCGUUACAGCCUACGUGGGUUUCCCUAUGUAGGCAUGAGUGAAUGUCUACAUUUUUUUAAAAAUAUACACUUAGGGUAGAAUGAAUCAGAUGGACAAUUGUAUGCCCUUAUAUGCUACAACUAGGCCAUCACAAUAAGAGGAAGGUUAAUUCUAGUAAAGGAGAGACCCUCAAAGAAAUAAAAAGACGAUUUGCAUAUCAGUCACCGCUAUCGGGCAAAAUUAGUUCGAAAAUGUUGGCAUAUUGAAUAUCGACAGAAAUCCAAUAUUGUGCAUCCCUAUAAAUGGUCUCUUAUUUAAUACAUUGUCCUCAUCAGAAUGUUUCAUUCAUGUUCUUGUGUUUCAAAACCAUGUUGUC